GGUUAAGUUAAUAAGGGCGCACGGUGGAUGCCUUGGCACUAGGAGCCGAAGAAGGACGUGACAAACGACGAUAUGCCUUGGGUAGCUGUAAGUAAGCGAUGAUCCAGGGAUUUCCGAAUGGGGGAACCCAACAGGUACUACCUGUUACCCACAUCUGUUAAGGAUGUGAGGAGGAAGACGCAGUGAACUGAAACAUCUAAGUAGCUGCAGGAAGAGAAAGCAAAAGCGAUUGCCUUAGUAGCGGCGAGCGAAACGGCAGAAGGGCAAACCGAAGAGUUUACUCUUCGGGGUUGUAGGACUGCAAUGUGGACUCAAAGAUUAUAGAAGAAUGAUUUGGGAAGAUCAGCCAAAGAGAGUAAUAGCCUCGUAUUUAAAAUAGUCUUUGUACCUAGCAGUAUCCUGAGUACGGCGGGACACGUGAAAUCCCGUCGGAAUCUGGGAGGACCAUCUCCCAAC
rnacentral:rRNA from 1 species